rnacentral:hammerhead_ribozyme from 1 species
GCACAGCUGAGGAGUCCCACAAUAGGAUGAAACGGUCGUUCAGUGC